rnacentral:rRNA from 1 species
GACGAACGCUGGCGGCGUGCCUAAUACAUGCAAGUAGAACGCACAGUUUAUACCGUAGCUUGCUACACCAUAGACUGUGAGUUGCGAACGGGUGAGUAACGCGUAGGUAACCUGCCUGGUAGCGGGGGAUAACUAUUGGAAACGAUAGCUAAUACCGCAUAAUAUUAAUUAUUGCAUGAUAAUUAAUUGAAAGGUGCAAUUGCACCACUACCAGAUGGACCUGCGUUGUAUUAGCUAGUAGGUGCGGUAACGGCUCACCUAGGCGACGAUACAUAGCCGACCUGAGAGGGUGAUCGGCCACACUGGGACUGAGACACGGCCCAGACUCCUACGGGAGGCAGCAGUAGGGAAUCUUCGGCAAUGGACGAAAGUCUGACCGAGCAACGCCGCGUGAGUGAAGAAGGUUUUCGGAUCGUAAAGCUCUGUUGUAAGAGAAGAACGGGUGUGAGAGUGGAAAGUUCACACUGUGACGGUAUCUUACCAGAAAGGGACGGCUAACUACGUG